AUAUUUCUGCUUCUGGUUGUUCUGGGAUUGGUAGGUCCUUAUUUCAGUUGUACUUGCCUACAUCAGAAGUGAUCCUCAUGCAGUAAUUCCAAAUUUGCUUUGGUGUCCCUGAGAUCAGGUCUGACUCAGUUCUAUACCUAGUCUUUAAAAUCAGAUCUGUUCUUCUUCUCUUAGAACUGUCAUUAUGUUUCACUGUACUUUAAAGUGUAGUAUUACUUUGAAAAGAGAGUGUAAAAAUGUCAUUUCAGAGUUCUAUAUUUGUCUGACAGUUGUUUCUGUUGCAGAAGUACUCAUUUUCUAAGUUAAAAAGCUGUCUUUCCUAACACCCAGCACAAGGUGCUUCAGCUGUUGGCACACACUGUUGGAUUCUACAGCUGGUGCAGGCUGCAGGGUGCUGUGGGGCCUCUGCCUGCCUUUGCCAAACUGUCUUCUGUCACUCACGCCCUCAGUGACACCACCAGGCUCUCUGUGUUGCGUGGGCUGGUGACAGGUUUGAAUUCAUUCUGUGCAGGAGAAACACGCUGAACAGUUACAGGUCUCUCAGCCUUUUCUCAUAAGGGAGAUGCUCCAGGCCCUAAAUUACCUUUGUAGCUCUCCUCUGCACUCUCUUAGCAGGCACAGAGACAUGCUGUGGGUUAUUCUUUAGAGGCCAAGCACUUCUAACACAGAGAUCUGGUCUCCAUUCUGUGAAAUGCACCAGGAAAGCCUUAAUUUGAUCUCAAAGGAGCACCUAAGGAACUUAGAGCAGUUAGUACCUCUCAGCACUGGUGCUCUCUCAGCUGCUGUGACAGGAAACUGUGGCUGAGGGUGCACAGACAGCAGCUGGCCCAGGAAAGGGGUGAACUGAAAUGGCGGAUGUAGCACAUUAUGGCACCGAGCAAACUUCCACAUCUUGCUGUCAAAGGUCUGUCUUUCAUUUUCUUUUUUAAAAUGUAUCAAACAAUUUGGCAUAAAAAGUACAACUUUUGUCAUAUUGAGAAUAACAACGUGUUACAAGACAAGGGAACAAAGGCUGGAAUUUGAGGGAAAUUAAAAAAAGGGAAGAAACAAAGAAAAAAUGAAGAUGUGAAACAAUCUUAUUUAUUU
rnacentral:lncRNA from 7 species